rnacentral:rRNA from 1 species
GUGAGUAACGCGUGAGGAACCUGCCUCAUAGAGGGGGACAACAGUUGGAAACGACUGCUAAUACCGCAUAAGCCCACAGCUCGGCAUCGAGCAGAGGGAAAAGGAGCAAUCCGCUUUGAGAUGGCCUCGCGUCCGAUUAGCUAGUUGGUGAGGUAACGGCCCACCAAGGCGACGAUCGGUAGCCGGACUGAGAGGUUGAACGGCCACAUUGGGACUGAGACACGGCCCAGACUCCUACGGGAGGCAGCAGUGGGGAAUAUUGCACAAUGGGGGAAACCCUGAUGCAGCGACGCCGCGUGGAGGAAGAAGGUCUUCGGAUUGUAAACUCCUGUUGUUGAGGAAGAUAAUGACGGUACUCAACAAGGAAGUGACGGCUAACUACGUGCCAGCAGCCGCGGUAAAACGUAGGUCACAAGCGUUGUCCGGAAUUACUGGGUGUAAAGGGAGCGCGGGCGGGAGAACAAGUUGGAAGUGAAAUCCAUGGGCUCAACCCAUGAACUGCUUUCAAAACUGUUUUUCUUGAGUAGUGCAGAGGUAGGCGGAAUUCCCGGUGUAGCGGUGGAAUGCGUAGAUAUCGGGAGGAACACCAGUGGCGAAGGCGGCCUACUGGGCACCAACUGACGCUGAGGCUCGAAAGUGUGGGUAGCAAACAGGAUUAGAUACCCUGGUAGUCCACACCGUAAACGAUGAUUACUAGGUGUUGGAGGAUUGACCCCUUCAGUGCCGCAGUUAACACAAUAAGUAAUCCACCUGGGGAGUACGACCGCAAGGUUGAAACUCAAAGGAAUUGACGGGGGCCCGCACAAGCAGUGGAGUAUGUGGUUUAAUUCGACGCAACGCGAAGAACCUUACCAAGUCUUGACAUCCUGCGACGCACAUAGAAAUAUGUGUUUCCUUCGGGACGCAGAGACAGGUGGUGCAUGGUUGUCGUCAGCUCGUGUCGUGAGAUGUUGGGUUAAGUCCCGCAACGAGCGCAACCCUUAUGGUCAGUUACUACGCAAGAGGACUCUGGCCAGACUGCCGUUGACAAAACGGAGGAAGGUGGGGAUGACGUCAAAUCAUCAUGCCCUUUAUGACUUGGGCUACACACGUACUACAAUGGCGUUAAACAAAGAGAAGCAAGACCGCGAGGUGGAGCAAAACUCAGAAACAACGUCCCAGUUCGGACUGCAGGCUGCAACUCGCCUGCACGAAGUCGGAAUUGCUAGUAAUCGUGGAUCAGCAUGCCACGGUGAAUACGUUCCCGGGCCUUGCACACACCGCCC